UUUUUUUGGGCGGGAAAUAGAUUUUCAAGGGAUUUUAAAAGGGUUUUAAAAGAGAUUUUAAAACGGUUUAAAAGAUUUACAAGAGAUUUUAAAAGGGUUUAAAAAGAUUUUCUAGAGAUUUUAAAGGGCUUUAAAAGACUUACAAGAGAUUUUAAAGGGCUUUAAAAGGCUUACAAGAGUUUUUAAAGAUUUUUAAAGAGUUUAAAAGUGUUUUAAAAGAUUUACAAGAGAUUUUUAAAAGGUUUUAAAAGAUGUACAAGAGUUUUAAAAAGAUUUUAAAAAAAAUUAUAAGAAAACCCUUUAAAAACUCUUGUAAAUCUUCUUAAAACAUUUUGUAAAGGUUCACAAGAGUUUUAAAAUGGUUCAAAAAGAGUUGUAAAUGUUUUAAAUACUUACAAUUCUUUUUCUAAAAGUUAAAAAAUGCUUGUAAAGACUUUAUAAGAGUUUUAAAUGGAUUUACAAAUGUUUAAAAUCCUUUUCAAACUCUUGAAAAACUCUUGUAAAUCAUGUUUUACCCUUUUAUAAGCUUUUAAAAUCCUUGUAAAUCAUUCUAUACCACUUACUUAUCUUUUAAAAACAAUUGUAAACUAUGCAAACCUUUUUUAAAAUCCCUUGUAAAUCAUUCUUUGACACUUACUUAUGUUUUAAAAACGAUUGUAAAUCAUGUUAAACACUUUUAAAAUCCCUUGUAAAUCAUUCUAUGCCACUUACUUAUGCUUUAAAAACGAUUGUAAAUCAUGUUUUACCCUUUUAUAAGCUUUUAAAAUCCCUUGUAAACCAUUCCAAUGUCACUUACUUAUACUUAAAAAAACAUUGUAGACCAUGCUAACCAUUUUUAAAAAUCCUUGUAAAUCGUUCUAUGCCACUUACUUAGGCUUUAAAAAUGAUAGUAAAUCAUGUUUUACCCUUUUAUAAGUUUUUAAAAUUCCUUGUAAAUCAUUCAAUGUCACUUACUUAUGCUAAAAAACGAUUGUAAACCAUGCUAACACUUUUUAAAUCCCUUGUAAAUCAUUCUAUGCCACUUACUUAUGCUUUAAAACGAUUGUAAAUCAUGUUUUACCCUUUUAUAAGUUUUUAAAAUCCCUUGUAAAUCAUUCAAUGUCACUUACUUAUGCUUAAAAAACGAUUGUAAAUCUUGUAAAACUAUUGUAAAAAGUUUUAAAAUGAUUUACAAAGGUUUAAAAGGCGGUUUAAAAGUAUUUAUCUAUGUUUUUAAAGACUUUAUAAAGAUUUUAAGAGGUUUUAAAAUGAUUUACAAGGGUUUUUGGCAACUACCAAAGCUUUUAAAAAAUUUACAAGGAUUUUUAAAAGCAUUUUUUUGGUUGGGAAAAAAAAUUUACGAGAAAAAUUUUGGCAGGAAAUUUUUUUUUUGGCGGGAAAGUUUUUUUUUUGGUGGGAAAAAAGGUUUGGCGGAAACUUUUUUUUGGCGGGAAAAAUAAAUUUGGCGGGAAACUUUCAGUUUCCAAUUACAUGUUCUUAUUAGAUGAGGGUAAUUUGGUCAUUCUGUUCAAGGGAAAUGAUAUUUUUAAAAAUAAACAAUAUAAAAGGGUAUUGUUGCAAAAGAGUAGUAAAAAAAGGGUAAUUUUGAAAAUCUCCCAUAUUUUUGACCCAAAUUUAUUCAAAAGUGAUUAGAUACCUAUAAAUAU
rnacentral:sRNA from 1 species